rnacentral:miRNA from 1 species
UUUGGAUUGAAGGGAGCUCUC